AGGAGUGGAAGUUUAUUUAAAAGGCCUUUAGGAAAGAAAGCACGCUCGGAAGAGUCCCAAGCUGUCACUGAGGUCAACUGUGAUAUUGACCUUGAUCCUAGGACUUUAUAGGCUGGCUCCUUUCCCAUCAUUCUUCCCUUAGGGUGGGCUGCCUCCAUGCGCAGUGCCCUCCUUACCCUUGGGAAGUGAGCACAGCGCAGUAUGUAUGAAGUUGUAUGCGUGCCCAUCUGAGGCUUUCUUCCCUUUUCCAAUAGAGUCCCCCUGAAAGGUCAUACUCCCCGAUUUUGUCUCUUAAUGCAUAUGGCCAGGAAGUUGCUUCUCCCUGUCACCUGCAUUCAACGAGCACUUUAGUGCAACAGGUGUGGGCCAUCAGGAAAUGGCCUCUCCCUGGCACCGGCUGCCAAUUUAUCACUUUUAGAGGCAAUGUGAUAAAUGCCUAAGCAUCACCCCACAUUCCUAGUGGGUGAGGGAAGAGCCCUCUCCUGCCCUGCUCAUGCCUAACUACCUGUAACAAACCUUGUAAAUAUUAAGCCAGCCACCAAAAGACCAUAUAAUUCCGUUUAUAUUAAAUGUCCAGAUUAGUUAAAUCUAGAGAGACAAAGUAGGUUCUUGGUUGGCUAGGGCUGGAGGAGUUGGGAGGAUCAGGGGUGAUAGCUAAAAAGUACAAGUUUCUUCUUUCGAGUGGUAAAAAUGCUCUCAAAUAGUGGUGAUGGUUGCCCAAGCCUGUGAAUAUACUAAAAAUCACUGAACACUUCAAAUGGGUGAAUUAUAUGGCAUGUGAUUAAAGUCUAAUAAAUAAAUAGUAUGUCCUGCUGUAUCCUUCAGGGCCUCUGAGAAAUGGAGAGAGCUCCAUCUGAAGCCAGACUGAGUUCCGAUCCUGCUUCUAUUUUCCCCGCAGGUAAAUCCUUCCUCAACAGCAACACGGGGUGAUACGCCUUAUCCAGAAAGGUUGUUGUAAUUUUUAAAAACAUUAAAAACAUACAUUAGGGUUAAUCAUGUAGUGUGUGAUACACAGACGCUCUGAAACACUACUGCACACGCACACGAACAUGGGGCCUCUGCGGAGGUUGUGAAAGAACCAGAUCUGGAGGGCUGGUCGUGUCCCUGGUCUCGGCCCUCGCCCUCCUUGUUUCUUAGGCUCUAAAGCAAGCAGGCAGCAGAGCAGUCCUUGAACCCCAGUCAAGAAAAAGCCCUGCACCCCUUAGUCCGAAAGCCGCAAGGAACGGGGCCUAAGCGCCUGGCGAGGCCGCCCUACCGGGCAGAGACAGUUGCUACGCAACUCGGGGACCAGAAACCCAGCCCCACCCGCUGCGGUUAACCGACAGCCGCAACGGUUCCCGCACCGCCCGGGUCGGAGAACAAUGCUGCGCCCCGCACGUAGAGCCUCGCGGUGCCGCGCCCUGGGGCGGGCCUGCCCAUGGCCUGCCGGGAAAUGUAGUUUCUGAUGCCCCGCCCGCGCCGCCUCGCCGCUCGCCGGCCGGGCGCCCCAAGCAACUACAACUUCCAUCACGCUCUGCGAGGCCUUGAUCUGCAGGCUUUUGCAGGGAAAGGAGUGGGGCGAACAUGGCUGAAGGAAGUCGAGGUGGCCCUACGUGUAGCGGGGUGGGUGGCAGGCAGGACCCAGUCUCCGGCAGUGGCGGCUGCAACUUUCCAGAGUAUGAGCUUCCCGAGCUAAAUACGCGCGCUUUCCAUGUGGGCGCCUUUGGGGAGCUGUGGCGGGGCCGUCUACGCGGGGCCGGGGACUUGUCGCUGAGGGAGCCGCCGGCAUCCGCUCUGCCUGGGAGCCAGGGGAUUGCUGACUCCGACCGGGAGGAUGCCGCGGUGGCCAGGGAUCUGGACUGCAGCCUGGAGGCGGCGGCUGAGCUGAGGGCGGUGUGCGGCCUUGAUAAACUGAAAUGCCUUGAGGACGGUGAGGAUCCAGAAGUCAUUCCGGAGAAUACUGACCUGGUGACUUUGGGGGUUAGAAAAAGGUUCUUGGAACAUCGGGAAGAAACCAUUACAAUAGAUCGAGCCUGCAGACAAGAAACAUUCGUUUAUGAGAUGGAGUCACAUGCCAUAGGAAAAAAGCCUGAAAAUUCAGCAGACAUGAUUGAAGAAGGGGAGCUUAUCCUAUCUGUGAAUAUCUUGUACCCUGUUAUAUUUCAUAAGCACAAAGAACACAAACCAUACCAAACAAUGCUGGUGUUGGGCAGUCAAAAACUCACACAACUGAGGGAUUCAAUUCGCUGUGUCAGUGACCUCCAGAUUGGCGGUGAAUUCAGCAACACUCCUGACCAAGCCCCUGAGCACAUCAGCAAAGACCUAUACAAAUCAGCCUUCUUUUAUUUUGAAGGAACAUUUUAUAAUGAUAAAAGAUACCCAGAAUGCAGAGAUUUGAGCAGAACUAUCAUUGAGUGGUCAGAGUCCCAUGAUAGAGGCUAUGGAAAGUUUCAGACUGCUAGAAUGGAAGAUUUCACCUUCAAUGACUUGUGUAUUAAACUGGGUUUUCCUUACUUAUACUGUCAUCAGGGAGACUGUGAACAUGUCAUUGUCAUUACUGACAUAAGGCUUGUGCAUCAUGAUGACUGCUUGGAUAGGACAUUGUAUCCCCUCCUUAUCAAGAAGCAUUGGCUAUGGACCAGAAAAUGUUUUGUUUGUAAAAUGUAUACAGCUAGAUGGGUGACGAACAAUGACAGUUUUGCACCAGAGGACCCAUGCUUCUUUUGUGAUGUUUGCUUCCGAAUGCUGCACUAUGAUUCAGAAGGCAACAAACUGGGGGAAUUCCUUGCUUAUCCUUAUGUUGAUCCUGGAACCUUUAAUUAAGAAUAGCUACACUCACAAAAGUACCCCCUCAUGAAAUAACUGUUCUCUUGGAUGGUUACCUUAUUUCUAAGAAAUGCCACUGAGGAACAGGAUCCACUUUGAACAGUCUGCUAAAGCUAUCCAAAAAAAGUCCAAAUCACAGAUUUUCUUAUAAUGAUUGUGUUUAAAUGUUUAUAACAUAGUUUAAUUCUAUAUUUAUUCCAGAUAGUAUUUAAUUUAGUGCUUUUUACCCAUUUUGAGUUGAGCUGUAGUACUUUAUAUAUUCUGACUUUAAAUCCUUUGUCAGACACAUAUAUUCUUUCUCCCAAUCCUUGCCUUCCCUAUUCAUUCUCUGUCCAGAGUUUUUUGCUAAAGAGAGAAUUAUUAAUGAUACAUCAAGUAGUGGAAGUGUUUUGAAAAUUCUUUGAAGAAUGUGAGAGCUACACCUUCUACCAUGAGGCUUCCAAGGUUGUAUUUAAAUUUGACUGAAUAUCUGGAUGGCUAAGAACAGACAUUUAUCUUAUACAUGGAAAACUGAUGAAACCUAUAAGCCUAUGUGUUUGACAGUGAAGUAUGUUUUAUGGACUUAAAUGCCACAAACAGUUAAGUCCAUUGGCUUGGAGAUGACAAGCACGAGUUUCUGGUAUGUCUAGUGUUCUCAUUCACUGAUUCAGUCAGUACACAGAUAAUCAGUAUAGAGAACUUAAGAGGCUGGCUUAUGUUAUACCUAAAUUUUUACUUUCUUAUAUACAACAAUGCUAAAAUUGAGCAGAUUGAUAACUGCCAGCAAACCAUAGAUUUAAGAUAAAUGAAUGAUUUACCCAACCGUGAAAUUCCAUGGGUAAAAAUUUUGAUUAUUUUCAAUACUGCGUUCCUUAUAGGUCUUACAUGCAUAUGCAAGGAUAUUUUAUCUUAUUCAUUUUCAUUUCAUACUCUCAAAACACCAAACUUCAAAAAGUUAAUUAUUGUCAUAAUGCAUUAUUCCAUGUGUGGUGUCAAUUCAUUUUAGUGGACAAAGAAGAAACAUGCCAGUUAAAACAUUUCUGCUACUGGGAUUCUUCUUUUAUUAAUUAUUUGAGAAUGUUAUUCUGCUAGUUCUUUUUUUUUUUUUUUUUUUUUUUUGAGACGGAGUCUUGCUUUGUCGCCCAGGCUGGAGUGCAGUGGCGCGAUCUCAGCUCACUGCAAGCUCCACCUCCUGGGUUCACGCCAUUCUCCUGCCUCAGCCUCCCGAGUAGCUGGGACUACAGACGCCCACCACCACGCCCGGCUAAUUUUUUUUGUAUUUUUAGUAAAGAUGGGGUUUCACCGUGUUAGCCAGGAUGGUCUCGAUCUCCUGACCUCGUGAUCCGCCCGCCUCGGCCUCCCAAAGUGCUGGGAUUACAGGCGUGAGCCACCGCGCCCGGCCUCUGCUAGUUCUUAAGGUUAACUUUUUCAUCAAAGACUCAGGUACCUAUUAUUGUUCCCUGGUGAAACUGAGGAGAAAAGUUAAUCAACCAGGUUACUCCCACAGUUUGCCCGUGUGUUAUGUAUCAGUUAUACAGGUAUCCCACCAAGUUCAAGUCAAAAGAAAUUCCUAACUUUGUAUAUUUCUGGAGCUAUAAAACCCCUGAUUUAAGGCAGCUUUUCUCUUUUUUCGAGGCAGCUUUUCUUUAUGCUUAUUUCAAUCAAAUGUAACACGCCUGUCAAAUUACAUGUAACACAUUAUCUAAUGAAGAUAGGCAACUGAAAAUGUUGUCAUGAACAUGUCAACCUGCUUGGUAGUUGAAUUUGACUUUUAUAUAAUAGUGGAUACACAUGCACAGAAGUCACUAGAGAAGCAAUAGCUAUUUCUUUAAACAUUCUUCAGGCCUCAGUACCAUUUAAGGACAAUUAGACAUUCUAGUUUUACUAGGAGAAAGGUCAGUCAUCUCUAACAUUGUGUUGCAGAAUUACACGACACAAACAUAAACACGUUUCUGCCUAUUAAACCAGUUUCUUUGUUUCUAAAGAGUUUAAUGAUACGGGUUUGCUAUUUCCAUUAGAGCAUCCUUUUUCUGGCCAAUCGGACAAAAUAAAGUUAGCAAAGCCCUCACAGCACCCUAUGAAAAAUCUUUGCUCUUAUACAGGAUUAGAUGCAGACCUCAUCUUGACCUGACAUCUGUAACCAGGUAAGUGUAUGAGUAGGAACACAGACAGCAGUACUGUAUCAGCAAAAUCUAUCAUAUUAUUUGAAAUCACCAGAUAUAAUAUUAAUUAUAAAGUGUAUGGUUCUCUCCAGUUGUUCACAUACCAAAUCCCAAUCAGUUCUCAGAUUCAGACAGAUGUAUCUGCAAUUUCUCCAAGCAGCUAAGAAAACCUUCAAUAGUCAGUUCUGCUUGGUCAUGGUAUGACUAUUUUUUUUUUUUUUUUGAGAUGGAGUCUUGCUCUGUCUCCCAGGCUGGAGUGCAGUGGGGCAAUCUCAGCUCACUGCAACCUCUGCCUCCCGGGUUCAAGCAAUCCUCCUGCCUCAGCCUCCCGAGUAGCUGGGAUUACAGGCACGUGCCACUGCGCCCGGCUGAUGUAUGACUCUUUUAUCCAGUAAUCAAAACACAUACGUACAUACACACACAUACCAGCCCAAAAGAGGUGUUAAAACAUACAUAUUACACGUACUUUUUGGAGGAGUGGGGUGGGGGUUAUCUAUCUCAAAAUUACCUCUUGGUGCCUUGUCAAGCUGUGCAGUUUUGACCACACACACAAAUUGAGCCAAUGAACAAUUUCAGUGAUCCUGAAAGUUCUUAAGUCUUAUGAAUAAUUAUCAAGAAUUCUGAGAAGUUAUCUGUAAAUCAGCCUAUGACACCAAGCACAUUUCUUGAGAGUUAUGAUUAAAGAAACAGCAAUUAUGCUUGAAGCGAACAUACAUCAACUAGUUAGAGCAAGGUCAGCCUGUACAAGCUGACAUAAAUUAUGAGAAUGAUGCUCUAUCUCUAGAAUUUGAAUAUUCUGUGGCUUCUUUGUAAAACUAUAGAUCUGGUGAGUCAUGGGAAGAAAGGGAGGGUGAACAAAAGAUAAAUAUUACCUUUAUUUUUUAUCAUCUUGAGCUUACUGUUUAGUUACCCCGUUUCCCAAAACAACACAACCUCUGUGACCAGUUAACUAAGAAAUUAUUUCCUUGGCAGCAAACCCAGAAUUCCAUCACUUACUCUUGUAAAUAGCAAGAAAGUAAUUUACUAGCAGAGUUUGAUAGAAAAAUUCUUUAAUCAAAACAAGUUUACACGUUGAACUUAUGGCUUAACUAGAAUAAAUCUAAGUUAAAACUGUAUAAGGACCAAACAGAUAAUGACUGGUAUAUACGCAGGUUCUCUCAAAACGGUGAUUACUAGUUCCAUUAUAAGACCUCGUUAAAAGCAAAAAUGCAAUUCUGUAGAUGAAAACAGUUAUCUCAGAGGGUCAACCAUACAAUGUCAUACAGAGACGCUGGUCUUAAGCCAUUUUUUUCCAUAUUCAUAAAAUUUCAAAACAUGAGAAGUAUCCUACUUGCUGAGAAGUGCCAAAUGACCCUAAUAUUCAAAAUAUCUUAGAAAUGCUAUCCUUUAGUUAACAUACCCUUAAAUUUUGUAACAUUGAUUUUACCCUGGAUAUAGUCCAUACACGUCAAUAUACAGACUUAUCAAAGUACAAUGCUGGAACAACUAGUGUUUGUAUUUUUGGAAUCUAGAAAAUAAAAAUAAUAUAGCCAUGAUUUCAAAUAGGUGAGUUUACUUAUAUAACAUUUAUUCAUAUUUAUUAUAUAAGCAUCAUGAUUUUUUCUUCCAAUUAAGUACUAUUUAGUGACUUCCUAAAGACAUUUUUAACAACAUUCCUCAAAAAUAAACUUACUUAGUUUUCAGUUUUAGUUACUAGUGCCUGCCUAUAAAAGGACCUUAAAUGAUUUAACCCUAAAGCCAGAUUCAUUCCUAUAUAUACCCAGUCAGUUAUCUGCAAAGAAGUCCUAAGACUUCACUGAAUGCCCAGCCACAAAACUAAAUUACCUUCAAAAAUUAAUGUUUUAUAGUUUUUAGAAUUCUCAGUCAGUUCAAUGUCAGUUGCUUAAUUAGUUGUCAUACCAAAAAAAACCAUACAGAGCACACAUUGUUCCAAAGAAGCUGGAUAAUGUAGCACAAUGUAGACUGUGAGAUUAAAAUUAACUUUUGAUAAAAAGGGAGUGAGUACUUGUAUAGAAGUAACAUUUUAUCUACCAUAAAAAUGCGUAACUUCUACAAAACCCACAAACAGUGAAAAGACAGUCUGGUAAAUCCAAGGUUUGUAAAAACUAUGCACAAAACCCACAGUAUUUGGGAAAAGAGGCAAGGUUUAUACAAGUAGCAGUUUUAAAAAUGUAACUUUGUUCUACUAUCAAUUACACAUUAACAUACACACACAGAUUGAAAAUAUGCUACAACCAUGUCUGGAAAAGCAGUUUAACAUUUUCUAAAUGGAUUUUAUCCCACAUUUACUGUAUAAUGUAGCUGUUAAUACUGCACAAGUACACUUAGCGAUAAUGUUUACUUUAAAACAAAGAUAAAGGGAUUUUCUCCCUCAAAAGUUUUCAACAUCAAACCUAUGCUUAUAAAAAUUUAAAACUUUCAGCAGUCUAUUUCAAAUGAAAACCAUUACAAACUUCUCAAGUGUUCUCUAUAUUCCAGGUAUGUCAACCUAGUUAUCUAGUGUAGAAUCCUUCAGAGAUAUUUCAGUCUCUCUCUCCUCACUGGAUGGCCUGAAGAAAAGGGGGAAAGGUACAACUGGAAUUAGGAUUUUCUCCUGAUGAAGGAAAAAAAGACAUUAAGUCUGCAUUAUAUUUUUAAACCCAUGAAAAGACUGAAACCAACCAAACAAAAGAAAAACUUGACUUGUUAUUAGAACAGUCAUUAUUUUUUUCUUCUUCAAAACUGUUAUUUUGCCAUGUUGUAUCUUCUUCCCAAAAUAAUAUGCAGAUAAAGCAAAAUAACUCAGCAAAGUGUCAUGGACCAAGCCCUUUCCAUCAUUUCUAGCAUAAAAGUGAAUUCUCUUUAAAGAACAUGAGAAUGUUUUAUAUCUGUGAUACCAACAUAUUUCAAAAUCUUAAUAAAAAGAGAGGUUGACAGACAACAAGAUUUCCCUCAAUUUCAGAAUUAGAAGGGAUGCUUCUAUCUAACUCCUUCAGAUACACAGUGGAACAAACCAAGACUUCAACUAUGGCUCCAUAGCCUGUUUUAGGGUGGGUAUUAAAAAAUAGCCUGUGAUGGCCGGGCGUGUUGGCUCACACCUGUAAUCCCAACACUUCGGGAAGCCAAGGUGGGUGGAUCACCCGAGGUCAGGAGUUCGAGGCCGGGCUGGCCAACAUGGUGAAACCUCAUCUCUACUAAAAAUACAAAAAAUUAGAUGGGCACAGUGGCAGGUGCCUGUAAUCCCAGCUACUUGGGAGGCUGAGGCAGGAGAAUUGCUUGAACCCAGGAAGUGGAGGUUGCAGUGAGCACGAUCGCACCAUUGCACUCCAGCCUGAGCAACAAGAGUGAAACUCUGUCUCAAAGAAAAAACAACAACAAAAAAAACUGAUUCUCCGUCUAACUUUUUACAAUUAUCCUUUCACAAUUCAAGAAAGUGUGAAUGCAAGUCAUUACUAACAGUAUCUCAGUAAAAGAAGUCCAGGAGCAAAUAUUUUCUUUUUAACUGGGUUCCCAGCUAGUUCCAUUCCCUUGAAUUCAGUGGCAAAGUCACUGUCAAUAAAAGGUUUUUACUCUUCUUCCUUUUUGAAUUGUAACUUGCUUACUGAAUUCAGGAAUUGGGUGGUCAAAAGAUAACUGCUUAUUAUAGUAAGAUAACCUUGGAACAGAACUGUGAUUAAAAACCUGAAUAAUAAAAACACACAAGACCCAUUAAAAACUAUUCCUCACUUUU